GAGGUUGUGGCUCAGUGGUAGAGUACUCACUUAGCACGUGUGAGGCACUGGGUUUGAUCCUUAGCACCACA
rnacentral:tRNA from 1 species